CCCGGGCGAAUUCCAAGCUUAGUUUGAUCCUGGCUCAGAACGAACGCUGGCGGCAGGCUUAACACAUGCAAGUCGAGCGCCUCGCAAGGGGAGCGGCAGACGGGUGAGUAACGCGUGGGAAUCUACCCUUUCCUACGGAAUAACACAGAGAAAUUUGUGCUAAUACCGUAUACGCCCUUCGGGGGAAAGAUUUAUCGGGGAAGGAUGAGCCCGCGUCGGAUUAGCUAGUUGGUGGGGUAAUGGCCCACCAAGGCGACGAUCCGUAGCUGGUCUGAGAGGAUGACCAGCCACAUUGGGACUGAGACACGGCCCAAACUCCUACGGGAGGCAGCAGUGGGGAAUAUUGGACAAUGGGCGCAAGCCUGAUCCAGCCAUGCCGCGUGAGUGAUGAAGGCCUUAGGGUUGUAAAGCUCUUUCACCCACGACGAUAAUGACGGUAGUGGGAGAAGAAGCCCCGGCUAACUUCGUGCCAGCAGCCGCGGUAAUACGAAGGGGGCUAGCGUUGUUCGGAUUUACUGGGCGUAAAGCGCGCGUAGGCGGACCGUUAAGUCGGAGGUGAAAGCCUGGGGCUCAACCCCAGAACUGCCUUCGAUACUGGCGGUCUCGAGUCCGGGAGAGGUGAGUGGAACUGCCAGUGUAGAGGUGAAAUUCGUAGAUAUUGGCAAGAACACCAGUGGCGAAGGCGGCUCACUGGCCCGGUACUACGCUAGUCAAAGCGACC
rnacentral:rRNA from 1 species